CUUAAGUGUGGACAGGACCAAUAAGAAGCUACCAGAAGAAUAAUUCCCACUCAACAUCAGGAAAAGUUACCAACAGUGGUUCUAAAACAAAAGGUCUGCUUCCUGAAACUAUUUCUAUCCUUGCUCAACUUCCCAAUAAGCAUCUUUCCUACACUGGUGGCACUAACUGAAGAGAAAAAAAGGUCUGCAUCUCCUGCUUCUCUGCAGUUAUACCUAAAAACACUCCAUCACAGAAGCUACAAAACUAGCCAAAGAAGCAAAAGCCACAU